rnacentral:misc_RNA from 1 species
GAGAACGAGUCUUUUUGUCACUUAAUGUUUUAAAGUUAAGGCUUUAAAUGACAAAAUUCAAUGGUUCUACCUGAUCUAUCAAUGGUACUCAAAAGCUUAC